UACGGGGGGAGCAAGCGUUGUUCGGAUUUACUGGGCGUAAAGGGCGCGUAGGCGGCCACCGCAAGUCAGUUGUGAAAGCUCUGGGCUUAACCCAGAAAGGUCAGCUGAUACUGCGGGGCUAGAGUGCAGAAGGGGCAACUGGAAUUCUCGGUGUAGCGGUGAAAUGCGUAGAUAUCGGGAGGAACACCAGUGGCGAAGGCGGCUUCCUGGCCUGUUCUUGACGCUGAGGCGCGAAAGCUAGGGGAGCAACGGGGAUUAA
rnacentral:rRNA from 1 species